GACGAACGCUGGCGGCGUGCUUAACACAUGCAAGUCGAACGGAAAGGCCCUGCUUUUGUGGGGUGCUCGAGUGGCGAACGGGUGAGUAACACGUGAGUAACCUGCCCUUGACUUUGGGAUAACUUCAGGAAACUGGGGCUAAUACCGGAUAGGAGCUCCUGCUGCAUGGUGGGGGUUGGAAAGUUUCGGCGGUUGGGGAUGGACUCGCGGCUUAUCAGCUUGUUGGUGGGGUAGUGGCUUACCAAGGGUUUGACGGGUAGCCGGCCUGAGAGGGUGACCGGGCACCAUGGGACUGAGAUACGGCCCAGACUCCUACGGGAGGCAGCAGGGGGGAAUAUUGCACAAUGGGGGGGAGCCUGAUGCAGCAACCCCGCGUUCGGGAUGACGGCCUUCGGGUUGUAAACCGCUUUCGCCUGUGACGAAGCGUGAGUGACGGUAAUGGGUAAAGAAGCACCGGCUAACUACGUG
rnacentral:rRNA from 1 species